rnacentral:rRNA from 1 species
GAUGAACGCUGGCGGCGUGCUUAACACAUGCAAGUCGAGCGAAGCACUUGAACCUGAUUCUUCGGAUGAAAGUUCAUUUGACUGAGCGGCGGACGGGUGAGUAACGCGUGGGUAACCUACCUCAUACAGGGGGAUAACAGUUAGAAAUGACUGCUAAUACCGCAUAAGACCACGGUACCGCAUGGUACGGUGGUAAAAACUCCGGUGGUAUGAGGUGGACCCGCGUCUGAUUAGGUAGUUGGUGAGGUAACGGUUCACCAAGCCGACGAUCAGUAGCCGACCUGAGAGGGUGACCGGGCCACAUUGGGACUGAGACACGGCCCAGACUCCUACGGGAGCAGCAGUGGGGAAUAUUGCACAAUGGAGGAAACUCUGAUGCAGCGACGCCGCGUGAAGGAUGAAGUAUUUCGGGUAUGUAAACUUCUAUCAGCAGGGAAGAAAAUGACGGUACCUGACUAAGAA